AAGCACUGAGAACUGAACUUAGAAUAGAAGAGCACUCUAAAUAGAGAGAAGAGAGGAGAUUGUUGAGGCAGAUGGAAAGCAUCACAGGAGAAGUGUGUGGCCCUCGCCUGUGGAGGUGAAGCUCCAGCAAGGCUCCAUCUUGAGUUUUUUAAAAUUUUGAGUAGUAAAGUGAUUCACUAGAUGGAUUGCUAAAAGCAGUUCCCAUUUUAUGUUUUCUUUCUUUGGUAUUCCCAAAAUGCAAAAAAAGUAUGUCUUAGGGCCGAUAUCCCCUUUUGAAAUUACAUCGUUAGGAUUUCUGCCAUCUUUGGAACCAGAUGUACCCAAACUUCAGCCACCCCUCAUGACCUCAGCCACUCUGGCCUGCGUCACAAUAAUCUCCAUCUGGACUCCUGACGAAUGUGCAGACUCCCUUCUCAACACUGGCCAGGAAAAGAGAUCAUGGGAAGGCAUAUCAGGGACGGAGCCCACGCUUCAGGGCCAUUCUGCUGGGCUUUCCUACAGUGACCUCACCAUCACCACCACCAACGACACUACAGCCCUGACCUCACCAUCACCACCACCAAUGACAACACUACAGCCCUGACCUCACCAUCACCACCAACAACAACGACAUCACAGCCCCGACCUCACCAUCACCACCACCAAUGACAACGACAUCACAGCCCCGACCUCAUCAUCACCACCACCAAUGACAACGACAUCACAGCCCUGACCUCACCAUCACCACCACCAACGACAAUGACAUCACAGCUCCGACCUCACGAUCACCACCACCAAUGACGAUGCUACAGCCCCGACCUCACCAUCGCCACCACCAAUGACAAUGACAUCACAGCCCCGACCUCACCAUCACCACCAAUGACAAUGACAUCACAGCCCUGACCUCACCAUCACCACCACCAAUGACAAUGACAUCACAGCCCCGACAUCACCAUCACCACCAAUGAUGACGCUACAGCCCUGACCUCACCAUCACCACCACCAACGACAACGACAUCACAGCUCCGACCUCACGAUCACCACCACCAAUGACGAUGCUACAGCCCUGACCUCACCAUCACCACCACCAAUGAUGACACUAUAGCCCUGACCUUACCAUCACCACCGCCAAUGACAAUGACAUCCCAGCCCCGACCUCACCAUCACCACCACCAAUGACAAUGACAUCACAGCCCCGACCUCACCAUCACCACCACCAAUGACGAUGCUACAGCCCCGAUCUCACCAUCACCACCACCAAUGACAACGACAUAACAGCCCUGACCUCACCAUCACCACCAAUGACAACGACAUCACAGCCCCGACCUCACCAUCACCACCAAUGACAAUGACAUCACAGCCCCGACCUCACCAUCACUACCACCAAUGACAACGACAUCACAGCCCCAACCUCACCAUUACCACCACCAACAACAAUGACAUCAUGGCCCACAGGUGGCCAAACCCUUCAAUCACCUGCAAACCAGUGACCCUCACUUUUGCUUCUGAGACUUAUAAAAGCAAAAACAAAAAAACAGAUUCUCAAACCCAAA